GUUUGUGCCGCGCGCCCGCCAGACCGCCCAGGAGGCGGCGGCUAUUGUUCCCCGCAGGGGCCCGGGGCGCCCUGAAACGGGGUCCACGUCAGCCCGCUCCCGAGCGUGUCCUCAGGUCUAAGGACGGCGCUGUGAACAAUGGAGCCAUCAAAAAGGCCUUCUCCCAGCCUCCUCACCAACCACGGACAUUCCUGGCCCAACAAGACCUCCUGGCCAGGUUUUGAGCCCUGCUUCCCAGAUCUGGGGACCCUUCACCUGCCUCUACUACUGCAAAUGAUUGGAUAUUCGUCUGACUUGGCUCUUCCCUAAUGUGUGGAACUAAUUUUGUUCACUCUGUUUCAUGCUGGACCUGGCCUGAAAAUGGGCCCUUAUAUUGUCUUUGCACUUUCCAACUUGCCAAGUUUCUGAAAGAAGGACCAAAGUAAUGCCAAGAACUCCCAGAUGAAGAGGACCUUCCUUAGACCUAUAACAGAUUCACUACUUGACUUCAGAGGGAAGUUUCAGCUAAUUCUCAGGAAAAGGUCAAAACAGGCCUGUGACUGUCCCUUGAAUACUGAAGGUAUAAACAAGCUUCUGGCUCCUCCAGGUCAAGCAGAGGAACACUUUUAUUAGAAUGAAGGGUUACUUCUUUGUUAUUCAAACACACACCCACACACAUCCUCUGUAGUCUCCCUAAUGAAAAACCUCAACAGAUGGAGAGCCUGAGCUCCCAAGUCCGCAGGCUGAGAAGAUGCACUUCACUCAAGGGCCAGUGGGCUGGUACAGACUAGGGAAGAGAAAAGGGACAAAGGCUGCUAGUAUAGGUAAUCACUAUCUUUUAAUACUCCUAACACAUAGAAAUUCGAAAAAUCUUGUUCAGCAAUGUUAGCAGCCUGUGAGCCUCGGAAACUAAUUUGGCUGAUGUGUCUCUGAUAGGGAGCUUGGGGCUGCACCAAGGGGAAACAUUCUCCUCCUGUAUUCUCUCCUCUCUCUCGUUUGAAAGCCUGUACAAAGAAAUGGUACAAAUGGAUGGUUAACUUAAUGAUUCCAUCAGAGGCAGAUUUUUCUCUGUCAGGUCCCUGGAUAAGGUGGAGGUCUGAAAGCCAGGAGACAGAAUAUGUACUUAAUCGCCCUUUCUGACCUGCUUACCAGUGACCAGGACUACUCUCCAGGCCUUUCUUCUGCCACUUCCCCAUUCUUCCUGGCUAGUUCAGUUGGGUCUCAGCACUUCAACUCCUGGCUGGAUCCUGAGUUUUUCUUGGUUGCAGGGAAAGCUCUCACUGUCUGCAUCUCCUUCCCCACCCCCACCUCCCGUUUUGCAGCUGGCCAUUCUGGCUGCCUCACAGCUAUCCUGCCUUAAUUCAUAUUUGAUUGCCUGGACAGAACCACCUAGAAUGUCCAGACGACUGCCACCCCUCAGCCAUGGGCCUGAGAUCCUGCCCUGACCCCUUUCUUCAGACCCCAGGAGGACCCACAAUCUCCCUGAUCCCCACCUUCCCCAAAGUAGUCUCUAGGAAAAAAGCAGAGCUGGCUAAGGCCUGAGACAGAGCCAUUUCUUCCCCUUGGGCAAACGAGGUAGACCCUCCCAGAGACCAAUGCCGGAGAGGCCCGGAUCCGAGCUCCCUUUAUAUGGCCUCCCCCAUCACGGAUCCCGUGGGAAAACCUGACACACAAUGGCGCGGCUGCUCCGGGCACCCUCAACCCAGCGCCCUGCGGCAAGGCCUGGAGCAGCCUGGUGGUCUUGGUGCGCUCCCUUUGCCCUCCCCGCAACCCUCUGCGAGCACUCGUCCCAGGAGAGAGACCCUGGCUAGGGUGGAGGUUGCCUCCCGCAAAGGGCGCUGUUGCUGGGGCCUCCCCUCCCCCAUUCUCUUGUUUUUCUGCUUCUGAGACUCGGGAGGGAGGCGGCAGGCGCCUCCGCAGCCGAUAGAGCAGCUAUUGUGACCUUCCCUUGCAGAGCGGGAACCCAGCCGAGUGUGUACCGCCGGCGGUGGCGGGGGAGGAGGCGACUGUGUGUGCAAACCUCAGUCGGAGAGGGGGUGGCGCUGGGAAAUAAAGGUUUGCAACCUCAGGCAGUUGGGCCCUUCAGAGGGCGUUUGGUUGUGUUUAGACUCGGUUGCUUUCUAACACUAAUUGCAGGCUCAAAAGGAGCGGAAUUUAUUGCGAAGGCCAAGGCGGCUUGUUUAUAAUUUAUGAAGUUUUAAAUGGCUGUGCCGCGGGCCCCAACUUUCUCCUGGGCUGGCAGCCGCGCGGAAACGCGCCCUCCCCCGGCUCGCCGCCCACCCCCACCCACGCCCCUCAGAUGAGUCUCACGCCAAUGGCAGGAACAGAUCCGAGCUAUUAGAAGUCUCGGGAACCUCCAGAGAUGACAGAAGGUGGCAGAUUUGGUCCAAGCCCUCACCCCACUCGAGAGGAGGGCGUCGGGGAAAGCUGUGGCUGCCUGGAGAGGGAGCCCCUGAUCCCACACUUCCUUGGAGCCUGAGUGUGAGAGGAAGCUAAUGUCAGCCGGGCUAGACACCGUUUAAAGUCUAAUCCAUGAAACCCUAAGCCGCAAAUGACACUUGGGGCUUUGCAGACACCCGCAGACUCAGCAGAUACUCCUGCGGUAACACACUGUGCUGGAAAACGCCUGGAGCCAUGACACAUUACGUAUUUUUAUUAUUAUUUAUGGUAGGAAGAGGAGAUGAGGGAAAAUCGGGCUGAAUCUAAGCAGCCUGACAAUUCAGCUAGUUAAUAUUUAGCCAGUUAAGAAAGGUGGUUGUAAUCCCUGCAAGGCAGUGAGCUCUCCUUUGAUUUCUCUAAUAGCUUAAAAAAUAAUUUCUUACAAGACAAUUAGAAAUUCUGCCUAUGGAUGCAAAUUUCAUAGAAAACAAUGUUAAGCCUUGAAAGUGGGUAAAAUGUGCCUUCGAUUGAAGUCAUUUAUUCUGUUGAUACACUUCUACAACAUAUAUAUUUUAAACCUGCUCAGAUAAAGUGAAAUUUAGCAAAAGGAUAUCCCCUCCCACCCCCAAAUCUAACAUGCCAUUUUAAAAACAGCACAAAGGAACAAGGAAACUAAAUAUUAUUUUGAGCCAUCAUUACUUAGUGAAAUACAAACAUCCAAAUAGAAACGAUUGUUGUUCCACCAGAAGAUUAGAAGUUAAAUUAUUUCCACACAAUAGGAAUUUCACUUCGUGUCAUCGGGGAUGUAGUAGGAGUUGCAUUAUUUGUCAAACCAAAUAGAGAUGCGUGGGCUGACUUUGCUGAAAUACAAAAGAAUUGAACCUUAUCUGAAGGCGUUUUCUAAGUGGCCCCUCCCAUAGAAGCCGGGAAGUUGUCCACCCCUAGCAGAAGCCACAUUAAUAUUUACAAAAUGGUUAUAAAUCCUUGAAGACAUUUUUGCCCAUUUUGUAUAAGAAACAGGAGUAAACAAGGUGUUUAUACUUGUUAUGUUUCAUUAAUGAAAUAUUAUUACUUUACAUCUUGGGGAAUGUUUGUUUUCUUUAGAAAUGAACUAAUGAUCACUACAAAGGAAGAAUUCAUGACAGCAUUUCCUAGAGAAAAAGCUUAGGUACGCGUCUCCAAAUGAUGGUUUCUUUUUCUACACCUUAGCUUUUUCAUAGCUCAAUUCUUCUUACAACUUCUCUUGUGUUUUUUCUUUGAUUGUCAGUUUUCUUUCAAAGUUUAUUUUUUGUUACUUAAUGCAGAAAAGUGAGCUCUGGUCUCCCCAGUGUAAAAGUCGAUUGUGUCUAGAAAGAAGGCAGUAAAAACAGCAAAGCAGGCGCUGCUUUCAAAAAGCCCUGCCCAAAUCAUCCCGCCCAGAACCUUCUUAGGUUUGCAUCCUCAUUUCCCCCUCCCCUAAUUUCAAUAGCUGGAAAGUAAUCAAGUAUCCCGAGAACCAAUUUAUGCACUAGACUCCAAAUAAAUAAAAUAUUUUUUUCAAAGUGUCA
rnacentral:lncRNA from 10 species